AUUGAACGCUGGCGGCAGGCCUAACACAUGCAAGUCGAGCGGAUCGGCGGACGGGUGCGUGAUGCCUAUGAAUCUGCCUGGUAGUGGGGGAUGACGUCCGGAAACGGACGCUAAUACCGCAUACUCUCAGAUGAGCCUAGGUCGGAUGAGCUAGUUGGUGGGGUAAAGGCCUACCAAGGCGACGCUCCGUAGCUGGUCUGAGAGGAUGAUCAGUCACACUGGAACUGAGACACGGGCCAGACUCAUACGGGAGGCAGCAGUGGGGAAUAUUGGACAAUGGGCGAAAGCCUGAUCCAGCCAUGCCGCGUGUGUGAAGAAGGUCUUCGGAUUGUAAAGCACUUUAAGUUGGGAGGCGUUACCAACAGAAUAAGCACUGGCUAACUUCGUGCCAGCCGCCGCGGUAAUUC
rnacentral:rRNA from 1 species